UUGUCAGGCUCAGUCAGAGAGAGCCAUCCAAAUUUAGCCCAGUGGUUGACAAUGGUAAAAGUCAAACCCUUAGAGCCUUGAGGCGAUAGCUGAAAUUAUUCUGCUGUUCGUAGCACAAAAGUGAGUUGCAAGGCUAAAGAGAAAAUGUCAGCUCGGCUUGAAGAAUUUAGACUUGCUGCUCCUGCAAAUGCAAAGAUGCCGUACUACUACUACUACUUCUACUAGUGUGAUAUUGUGCCUGGAGAGCUGAGAAAAGUAUAUUUCUGUUAGCAGGGAUGGGAUGGUACUGAUACGGCCGACUCAACAAAGAAGAGGAAGGCGCAUGGAGCAGUCAGCAAAUCUACUUUCACCCAGCAAAGGCGACCUACUCUGCACUACAACAGUUGGUACCCCGAGGACAGUUCCGAUUCUGAUUCUAAAG